CAAGGAUAAGGUGGAUAGAUUUUGGUCAGCUGUAUAUCUCCAAGAAUUGAAGGAAAAAUCUUGGGUGUGACCUGAGCAUACAGCAGGAGUUGGGAGAUGGAGUAUGCAGCGGGAGUUGGGAGAUGGAGUAUGCAGCAGGAGUUGGGAGAUGGAGUAUGCAGCGGGAGUUGGGAGAUGGAGUAUGCAGCAGGAGGUGCCCUCACCUGGGCAGGUGCUCACCCUGAUCCGCAGCCGCUGCCUCUCUCACUCGCUGUCAAAGCGGCUGCCCAAGUCAGCUGGUAAAAGGAUACAGGUAUUAUAUUAAAUGCAAAGAUGAAUAUCAUUUGAAAUUCCCACCUUAACGCCACG